rnacentral:rRNA from 1 species
CAGUGCCGCAUCUAUACAUGCAGUCGAGCGGACAGAUGGGAGCUUGCUCCCUGAUGUUAGCGGCGGACGGGUGAGUAACACGUGGGUAACCUGCCUGUAAGACUGGGAUAACUCCGGGAAACCGGGGCUAAUACCGGAUGCUUGAUUGAACCGCAUGGUUCAAUUAUAAAAGGUGGCUUUUAGCUACCACUUACAGAUGGACCCGCGGCGCAUUAGCUAGUUGGUGAGGUAACGGCUCACCAAGGCAACGAUGCGUAGCCGACCUGAGAGGGUGAUCGGCCACACUGGGACUGAAACACGGCCCAAACUCCUACGGGAGGCAGCAGUAGGGAAUCUUCCGCAAUGGACAAAAGUCUGACGGAGCAACGCCGCGUGAGUGAUGAAGGUUUUCGAAUCGUAAAACUCUGUUGUUAGGGAAGAACAAGUACCGUUCGAAUAGGGCGGUACCUUGACGGUACCUAACCAGAAAGCCACGGCUAACUACGUGCCAGCAGCCGCGGUAAUACGUAGGUGGCAAGGGUUGUCCGGAAUUAUUGGGCGUAAAGCGCGCGCAGGCGGUUUCUUAGGUCUGAUGUGAAAAGCCCCCGGCUCAACCGGGGAGGGUCAUUGGAAACUGGGGACUUUGAGGG